rnacentral:rRNA from 1 species
GAUGAACGCUGGCGGCGUGCAUAACACAUUCAAGUCGAACGGUGACGAGGACUUCGGUCCUCUGAUCAGUGGCGGACGGGUGAGUAACGCGUGAGCAACCUACCUAUCAGAGGGGGAUAACACAGGGAAACUUGUGCUAAUACCGCAUGACACAUACUGAUCGCAUGUUUGGUAUGUCAAAGAGAAAUCGCUGAUAGAUGGGCUCGCGUCUGAUUAGAUAGUUGGCAGGGUAACGGCCUACCAAGUCGACGAUCAGUAGCCGGACUGAGAGGUUGACCGGCCACAUUGGGACUGAGAUACGGCCCAG